rnacentral:rRNA from 1 species
UACGUAGGUGGCAAGCGUUGUCCGGAAUUAUUGGGCGUAAAGCGCGCGCAGGUGGUUCCUUAAGUCUGAUGUGAAAGCCCACGGCUCAACCGUGGAGGGUCAUUGGAAACUGGGGAACUUGAGUGCAGAAGAGGAAAGUGGAAUUCCAAGUGUAGCGGUGAAAUGCGUAGAUAUCUGGAGGAACACCGGUGGCGAAGGCGGCAUCCUGGACCAACACUGACGCUGAGGAGCGAAAGCCAGGGGAGCAAACGGG